rnacentral:rRNA from 1 species
ACAACCUGGUGAAAACCAGGCUAAUACCGCAUACGCCCUACGGGGGAAAGCAGGGGGAUCUUCGGACCUUGCGCUAUUGGAUGAGUCUGCGUCGGAUUAGCUUGUUGGUGAGGUAAUGGCUCACCAAGGCGACGAUCCGUAGCUGGUCUGAGAGGAUGAUCAGCCACACUGGGACUGAGACACGGCCCAGACUCCUACGGGAGGCAGCAGUGGGGAAUAUUGGACAAUGGGCGAAAGCCUGAUCCAGCCAUGCCGCGUGUGUGAAGAAGGCUCUAGGGUUGUAAAGCACUUUCAGUGUGGAAGAAAGCUUGUUAGCUAAUAACUGACGAGUGUGACAUUACCCACAGAAGAAGCACCGGCUAACUCCGUG